rnacentral:rRNA from 1 species
GAAUUUCGGUUAUCGAUGGGGAUGCGUUCCAUUAGUUUGUUGGCGGGGUAACGGCCCACCAAGACUACGAUGGAUAGGGGUUCUGAGAGGAAGGUCCCCCACAUUGGAACUGAGACACGGUCCAAACUCCUACGGGAGGCAGCAGUGAGGAAUAUUGGUCAAUGGACGAGAGUCUGAACCAGCCAAGUAGCGUGAAGGAUGACUGCCCUAUGGGUUGUAAACUUCUUUUAUAUGGGAAUAAAGUAUUCCACGUGUGGGAUUUUGUAUGUACCAUAUGAAUAAGGAUCGGCUAACUCCGUGCCAGCAGCCGCGGUAAUACGGAGGAUCCGAGCGUUAUCCGGAUUUAUUGGGUUUAAAGGGAGCGUAGGUGGAUUGUUAAGUCAGUUGUGAAAGUUUGCGGCUCAACCGUAAAAUUGCAGUUGAAACUGGCAGUCUUGAGUACAGUAGAGGUGGGCGGAAUUCGUGGUGUAGCGGUGAAAUGCUUAGAUAUCACGAAGAACUCCGAUUGCGAAGGCAGCUCACUAGACUGCAACUGACACUGAUGCUCGAAAGUGUGGGUAUCAAACAGGAUUAGAUACCCUGGUAGUCCACACAGUAAACGAUGAAUACUCGCUGUUUGCGAUAUACAGUAAGCGGCCAAGCGAAAGCAUUAA